CAGCCGCCGCGGUAAUACGGAGGGUGCAAGCGUUAAUCGGAAUUACUGGGCGUAAAGCGCACGCAGGCGGUCUGACAAGUCAGAUGUGAAAUCCCCGGGCUUAACCUGGGAACUGCAUUUGAAACUGUCAGGCUGGAGUCUUGUAGAGGGGGGUGGAAUUCCAGGUGUAGCGGUGAAAUGCGUAGAGAUCUGGAGGAAUACCGGUGGCGAAGGCGGCCCCCUGGACAAAGACUGACGCUCAGGUGCGAAAGCGUGGGGAGCAAACAGGAUUAGAGACCCGCGUAGUCCCUGUCUCUUAUAC
rnacentral:rRNA from 1 species